rnacentral:lncRNA from 1 species
GCAAAUCAAGAACUCACUGCGGCUGACCCCGUUCUCAGAGCAGGGAUCCACAGCGAACAGACAGUUUCUUCUCUCACGUGGUUGACAUUCCUGUGGGUGGAAAUGACAACAGAAGGGUAUAAAAUGAGUACAUCAAUUUCACAUGGGGACAAGUUCUGUGCAGGACAUAGGGACACGACGUGGGUGCCGAGAGCUUCUUUAGACGGGUGGUCAGGGCUGUCCUCUGAGCAGGUGACACCUGAGCAGAGCAUGGAAGGACAUGAGGGGCAGUAUGACCGCACAAAGAGCACAAUCUGCUCUCCCCGAGACAAAAGCCAGUCGUCAAGAGGGUGGGUGUGGAGAGUAAACUUCGAGGCGGGGAGACGACAGUCGGCAGGAGAACCCACAGGGCUGUCACAGUGACCCGAGCAAGGACUGAGCUGCCCGCUCGCGAGAGCAGGGGAUGGGGGCGGACAGAUGGACAGACUGGAGGCCUGUUUCGAAUUUAGCGUCUUCGAGGUAGGCUGGAGAAGAGGGGGACCCCAGG